GAUGAACGCUGGCGGUGUGCCUAAUACAUGCAAGUCGAGCGAACGGACGAGAAGCUUGCUUCUCUGAUGUUAGCGGCGGACGGGUGAGUAACACGUGGAUAACCUACCUAUAAGACUGGGAUAACUUCGGGAAACCGGAGCUAAUACCGGAUAAUAUUUUGAACCGCAUGGUUCAAAAGUGAAAGACGGUCUUGCUGUCACUUAUAGAUGGAUCCGCGCUGCAUUAGCUAGUUGGUAAGGUAACGGCUUACCAAGGCAACGAUGCAUAGCCGACCUGAGAGGGUGAUCGGCCACACUGGAACUGAGACACGGUCCAGACUCCUACGGGAGGCAGCAGUAGGGAAUCUUCCGCAAUGGGCGAAAGCCUGACGGAGCAACGCCGCGUGAGUGAUGAAGGUCUUCGGAUCGUAAAACUCUGUUAUUAGGGAAGGACAUAUGUGUAAGUAACUGUGCACAUCUUGACGGUACCUAAUCAGAAAGCCACGGCUAACUACGUGCCAGCAGCCGCGGUAAUACGUAGGUGGCAAGCGUUAUCCGGAAUUAUUGGGCGUAAAGCGCGCGUAGGCGGUUUUUUAAGUCUGAUGUGAAAGCCCACGGCUCAACCGUGGAGGGUCAUUGGUAACUGGAAAACUUGAGUGCAGAAGAGGAAAGUGGAAUUCCAUGUGUAGCGGUGAAAUGCGCAGAGAUAUGGAGGAACACCAGUGGCGAAGGCGACUUUCUGGUCUGUAACUGACGCUGAUGUGCGAAAGCGUGGGGAUCAAACAGGAUUAGAUACCCUGGUAGUCCACGCCGUAAAGAUGAGUGCUAAGUGUUAGGGGGUUUCCGCCCCUUAGUGCUGCAGCUAACGCAUUAAGCACUCCGCCUGGGGAGUACGACCGCAAGGUUGAAACUCAAAGGAAUUGACGGGGACCCGCACAAGCGGUGGAGCAUGUGGUUUAAUUCGAAGCAACGCGAAGAACCUUACCAAAUCUUGACAUCCUUUGACAACUCUAGAGAUAGAGCCUUCCCCUUCGGGGGGGCAAAGUGACAGGUGGUGCAUGGUUGUCGUCAGCUCGUGUCGUGAGAUGUUGGGUUAAGUCCCGCAACGAGCGCAACCCUUAAGCUUAGUUGCCAUCAUUAAGUUGGGCACUCUAAGUUGACUGCCGGUGACAAACCGGAGGAAGGUGGGGAUGACGUCAAAUCAUCAUGCCCCUUAUGAUUUGGGCUACACACGUGCUACAAUGGGCAAUACAAAGGGCAGCGAAACCGCGAGGUCAAGCAAAUCCCAUAAAGUUGUUCUCAGUUCGGAUUGUAGUCUGCAACUCGACUACAUGAAGCUGGAAUCGCUAGUAAUCGUAGAUCAGCAUGCUACGGUGAAUACGUUCCCGGGUCU
rnacentral:rRNA from 1 species